CUAAUACUCCCUCCGUCCCAAAAUUCUUGUCUUAGAUUUGUCUAGAUACGGAUGUAUCUAACACUAAAACGUAACUAGAUACAUCCGUAUUUAGACAAAUCUAAGACAAGAAUUUUGGGACGGAGGGAGUAUCAU
rnacentral:pre_miRNA from 1 species